GAUGAACGCUGGCGGCGUGCCUAAUACAUGCAAGUCGAGCGAACGGACGAGAAGCUUGCUUCUCUGAUGUUAGCGGCGGACGGGUGAGUAACACGUGGAUAACCUACCUAUAAGACUGGGAUAACUUCGGGAAACCGGAGCUAAUACCGGAUAAUAUUUUGAACCGCAUGGUUCAAAAGUGAAAGACGGUCUUGCUGUCACUUAUAGAUGUAUCCGCGCUGCAUUAGCUAGUUGGUAAGGUAACGGCUUACCAAGGCAACGAUGCAUAGCCGACCUGAGAGGGUGAUCGGCCACACUGGAACUGAGACACGGUCCAGACUCCUACGGGAGGCAGCAGUAGGGAAUCUUCCGCAAUGGGCGAAAGCCUGACGGAGCAACGCCGCGUGAGUGAUGAAGGUCUUCGGAUCGUAAAACUCUGUUAGUAGGGAAGAACAGAUGUGUAAGUAACUGUGCACAUCUUGACGGUACCUAAUCAGAAAGCCACGGCUAACUACGUG
rnacentral:rRNA from 1 species